GACGAACCGUGCAAACGUUGUUCGGAAUCACUGGGCUUAAAGGGCGCGUAGGCGGGUUCCCAAGUCGGUGGUGAAAUCUUUCGGCCCAACCGGAAAACAGCCGCCGAUACUGGGAGUCUUGAGGGAGGUAGGGGUCGAUGGAACUUCCGGUGGAGCGGUGAAAUGCGUAGAUAUCGGAAGGAACGCCGGUGGCGAAAGCGAUCGACUGGACCUUUUCUGACGCUGAGGCGCGAAAGCUAGGGGAGCAAACGGG
rnacentral:rRNA from 1 species